UUUGAGUGCAAUUAAAAUAGUGUACAAAAUAGAAAUAGAGGAAAAUCAUCCUGAAAAUGAAAUAAAUAAAAAGGAAAAGUAAAACCUAGCCAGAGAUCAGAGUGCUGUGUGGUCUUUGUACUAUUGUACAACAGUGAGGACUGUCUGUCGCCAAAUCUUUUGAGCACACAGACCGCCUACGCUGACGACCAGGCAUCAGACAUUGAACCUUAAGCUGUGGCACUAAGACACGCGGAGCCACCCCCACCCCCGCCCCGCGCGUCCCGCACCCCGCGCUCGCAUAUAAGCCCGCCCGCGCCGCCCUCCGCAUCACUCCCCUUGUGACUUCGCAACAUCGCACACGCAACCAUGGCUCUUUGGACACCCUACGCUGACGAAGCCGCCUUGGACUUGUCAAAGACGGCACAAGAAACAGUGACGUACUCGCGAGAGUAUUACGCUCCUCAGUUAACAGUUCCCCCGGAUUAUUUACCCUACAAUGGGUAUUACGCACCAGUGGGACAAAUAUCGCCCGGAGGCAGUUCUUCAGGAUACGAUUCAGUGUCGUUCAGCCCUAUGACGCCGCGACAUGUGACACUAU
rnacentral:lncRNA from 1 species